UACGGGGGGAGCAAGCGUUGUUCGGAUUUACUGGGCGUAAAGGGCGCGUAGGCGGCCACCGCAAGUCGGUUGUGAAAUCUCCGGGCUUAACCCGGAAAGGUCAAUCGAUACUGCGGGGCUAGAGUGCAGAAGGGGCAACUGGAAUUCUCGGUGUAGCGGUGAAAUGCGUAGAUAUCCGGAGGAACACCGGUGGCGAAGGCGGCUUCCUGGACCGACACCGACGCUGAGGCGCGAAAGCUAGGGGAGCAAACGGG
rnacentral:rRNA from 1 species